rnacentral:rRNA from 1 species
CCUACGGGAGGCAGCAGUGAGGAAUAUUGGUCAAUGGACGAGAGUCUGAACCAGCCAAGUAGCGUGAAGGAUGACUGCCCUAUGGGUUGUAAACUUCUUUUAUAUGGGAAUAAAAUGUUCCACGUGUGGGAUUCUGUAUGUACCAUAUGAAUAAGGAUCGGCUAACUCCGUGCCAGCAGCCGCGGUAAUACGGAGGAUCCGAGCGUUAUCCGGAUUUAUUGGGUUUAAAGGGAGCGUAGGUGGAUUGUUAAGUCAGUUGUGAAAGUUUGCGGCUCAACCGUAAAAUUGCAGUUGAAACUGGCAGUCUUGAGUACAGUAGAGGUGGGCGGAAUUCGUGGUGUAGCGGUGAAAUGCUUAGAUAUCACGAAGAACUCCGAUUGCGAAGGCAGCUCACUGGACUGCAACUGACACUGAGGCUCGAAAGUGUGGGUAUCAAACAGGAUUAGAUACCCCGGUAGUC